rnacentral:rRNA from 1 species
UACGAAGGGGGCUAGCGUUGUUCGGAAUUACUGGGCGUAAAGCGUGCGCAGGCGGCUUCUCAAGUCAGGGGUGAAAUCCUGGAGCUCAACUCCAGAACUGCCUUUGAUACUGAAGAUCUUGAGUUCGGGAGAGGUGAGUGGAACUGCGAGUGUAGAGGUGAAAUUCGUAGAUAUUCGCAAGAACACCAGUGGCGAAGGCGGCUCACUGGCCCGAUACUGACGCUGAGGCACGAAAGCGUGGGGAGCAAACAGGG